rnacentral:rRNA from 1 species
GGUUAAGCGACUAAGCGUACACGGUGGAUGCCCUGGCAGUCAGAGGCGAUGAAGGACGUGCUAAUCUGCGAAAAGCGUCGGUAAGGUGAUAUGAACCGUUAUAACCGGCGAUGUCCGAAUGGGGAAACCCAGUGCAAUUCGUUGCACUAUCGUUAACUGAAUACAUAGGUUAACGAGGCGAACCGGGGAACUGAAACAUCUAAGUACCCCGAGGAAAAGAAAUCAACCGAGAUUCCCCCAGUAGCGGCGAGCGAACGGGGAGCAGCCCAGAGUCUGAAUCAGCUUGUGUGUUAGUGGAACGGUCUGGAAAGUCCGACGGUACAGGGUGAUAGUCCCGUACACCAAAAUGCACAGGUUGUGAACUCGAAGAGUAGGGCGGGACACGUGGUAUCCUGUCUGAAUAUGGGGGGACCAUCCUCCAAGGCUAAAUACUCCUGACUGACCGAUAGUGAACCAGUACCGUGAGGGAAAGGCGAAAAGAACCCCGGCGAGGGGAGUGAAAAAGAACCUGAAACCGUGUACGUACAAGCAGUGGGAGCACCUUCGGGUGUGACUGCGUACCUUUUGUAUAAUGGGUCAGCGACUUAUAUUCUGUAGCAAGGUUAACCGUAUAGGGGAGCCGCAGGGAAACCGAGUCUUAACUGGGCGUUAAGUUGCAGGGUAUAGACCCGAAACCCGGUGAUCUAGCCAUGGGCAGGUUGAAGGUUGGGUAACACUAACUGGAGGACCGAACCGACUAAUGUUGAAAAAUUAGCGGAUGACUUGUGGCUGGGGGUGAAAGGCCAAUCAAACCGGGAGAUAGCUGGUUCUCCCCGAAAGCUAUUUAGGUAGCGCCUCGUGAAUUCAUCUUCGGGGGUAGAGCACUGUUUCGGCUAGGGGGUCAUCCCGACUUACCAACCCGAUGCAAACUACGAAUACCGAAGAAUGUUAUCACGGGAGACACACGGCGGGUGCUAACGUCCGUCGUGAAGAGGGAAACAACCCAGACCGCCAGCUAAGGUCCCAAAGUCAUGGUUAAGUGGGAAACGAUGUGGGAAGGCACAGACAGCCAGGAUGUUGGCUUAGAAGCAGCCAUCAUUUAAAGAAAGCGUAAUAGCUCACUGGUCGAGUCGGCCUGCGCGGAAGAUGUAACGGGGCUAAACCAUGCACCGAAGCUGCGGCAGCGACACUAUGUGUUGUUGGGUAGGGGAGCGUUCUGUAAGCCUGUGAAGGUGACCUGUGAGGGUUGCUGGAGGUAUCAGAAGUGCGAAUGCUGACAUAAGUAACGAUAAAGCGGGUGAAAAGCCCGCUCGCCGGAAGACCAAGGGUUCCUGUCCAACGUUAAUCGGGGCAGGGUGAGUCGACCCCUAAGGCGAGGCCGAAAGGCGUAGUCGAUGGGAAACAGGUUAAUAUUCCUGUACUUGGUGUUACUGCGAAGGGGGGACGGAGAAGGCUAUGUUAGCCGGGCGACGGUUGUCCCGGUUUAAGCAUGUAGGCUGAUUGUCCAGGCAAAUCCGGAUAAUCAAGGCUGAGGUGUGAUGACGAGGCACUACGGUGCUGAAGUAACAAAUGCCCUGCUUCCAGGAAAAGCCUCUAAGCAUCAGGUAACAUUAAAUCGUACCCCAAACCGACACAGGUGGUCAGGUAGAGAAUACCAAGGCGCUUGAGAGAACUCGGGUGAAGGAACUAGGCAAAAUGGUGCCGUAACUUCGGGAGAAGGCACGCUGGUGUGUAGGUGAAGUCCCUGCGGAUGGAGCUGAGACCAGUCGAAGAUACCAGCUGGCUGCAACUGUUUAUUAAAAACACAGCACUGUGCAAACACGAAAGUGGACGUAUACGGUGUGACGCCUGCCCGGUGCCGGAAGGUUAAUUGAUGGGGUUAUCCGUAAGGAGAAGCUCUUGAUCGAAGCCCCGGUAAACGGCGGCCGUAACUAUAACGGUCCUAAGGUAGCGAAAUUCCUUGUCGGGUAAGUUCCGACCUGCACGAAUGGCGUAAUGAUGGCCAGGCUGUCUCCACCCGAGACUCAGUGAAAUUGAACUCGCUGUGAAGAUGCAGUGUACCCGCGGCAAGACGGAAAGACCCCGUGAACCUUUACUAUAGCUUGACACUGAACAUUGAGCCUUGAUGUGUAGGAUAGGUGGGAGGCUUUGAAGCGUGGACGCCAGUCUGCGUGGAGCCAACCUUGAAAUACCACCCUUUAAUGUUUGAUGUUCUAACGUUGGCCCCUGACCGGGGUUGCGGACAGUGUCUGGUGGGUAGUUUGACUGGGGCGGUCUCCUCCCAAAGCGUAACGGAGGAGCACGAAGGUUAGCUAAUCCUGGUCGGACAUCAGGAGGUUAGUGCAAUGGCAUAAGCUAGCUUGACUGCGAGCGUGACGGCGCGAGCAGGUGCGAAAGCAGGUCAUAGUGAUCCGGUGGUUCUGAAUGGAAGGGCCAUCGCUCAACGGAUAAAAGGUACUCCGGGGAUAACAGGCUGAUACCGCCCAAGAGUUCAUAUCGACGGCGGUGUUUGGCACCUCGAUGUCGGCUCAUCACAUCCUGGGGCUGAAGUAGGUCCCAAGGGUAUGGCUGUUCGCCAUUUAAAGUGGUACGCGAGCUGGGUUUAGAACGUCGUGAGACAGUUCGGUCCCUAUCUGCCGUGGGCGCUGGAGAAUUGAGGGGGGCUGCUCCUAGUACGAGAGGACCGGAGUGGACGCAUCACUGGUGUUCGGGUUGUCAUGCCAAUGGCACUGCCCGGUAGCUAAAUGCGGAAGAGAUAAGUGCUGAAAGCAUCUAAGCACGAAACUUGCCCCGAGAUGAGUUCUCCCUGAGACUUUAAGUCUCCUGAAGGAACGUUAAAGACGAUGACGUUGAUAGGCCGGGUGUGUAAGCGCAGCGAUGCGUUGAGCUAACCGGUACUAAUGAACCGUGAGGCUUAACCUU